rnacentral:rRNA from 1 species
GUCGAGGGGCAUGCGGGGAGCGAAGCUUGCUUUGCUCCGCCGGCGACCGGCGCACGGGUGAGUAACGCGUAUGCAACCUGCCCGUUUCAGCGGGAUAACCCGGAGAAAUCCGGCCUAAUACCGCAUGUGGCCGAGGGAAGGCAUCUUCUUUCGGCCAAAGGAGGCGACUCCGGAGACGGAUGGGCAUGCGUGACAUUAGCUUGUUGGCGGGGUAACGGCCCACCAAGGCGACGAUGUCUAGGGGUUCUGAGAGGAAGGUCCCCCACACUGGUACUGAGACACGGACCAGACUCCUACGGGAGGCAGCAGUGAGGAAUAUUGGUCAAUGGGCGAGAGCCUGAACCAGCCAAGUCGCGUGAAGGAUGACGGCCCUACGGGUUGUAAACUUCUUUUGUCAGGGAGCAAUUGGGUCCACGCGUGGGCUUAGCGAGAGUACCUGAAGAAAAAGCAUCGGCUAACUCCGUGCCAGCAGCCGCGGUAAUACGGAGGAUGCGAGCGUUAUCCGGAUUUAUUGGGUUUAAAGGGUGCGUAGGCUGUGAGGUAAGUCAGCGGUGAAAUGCCCCCGCUCAACGGGGUGAAGUGCCAUUGAUACUGCCUUGCUGGAAUGCGGAUGCCGUGGGAGGAAUGUGUGGUGUAGCGGUGAAAUGCAUAGAUAUCACACAGAACACCGAUUGCGAAGGCAUCUCACGAAUCCGCGAUUGACGCUGAUGCACGAAAGCGUGGGUAUCAGACAGGAUUAGAUACCCUGGUAGUCCACGCUGUAAACGAUGAUGACUAA